GGCAGCCGCGGUAAUUCCAGCUCCAAUAGCGUAUAUUAAAGUUGUUGCAGUUAAAAAGCUCGUAGUUGAAUUUCGAGAUCAAAUUGUUGGUCGUGCCUUGGUACGCACUGGCAUUAUUGGUUUCUCCCUUCUGACGAACCAUGAUGUCAUUAAUUUGGUGUCUUGGGGAAUCAGGACUGUUACUUUGAAAAAUUGAGUGUUUAAAGCAGGCUUACGCUUGAAUACAUUAGCAUGGAAUAAUGAAAUAGGACGUUUGAUUCUAUUUUGUUGGUUUCUAGGAUCGACGUAAUGAUUAAUAGGGAUAGUUGGGGGCAUUAGUAUUCAAUUGUCAGAGGUGAAAUUCUUGGAUUUAUUGAAGACUAACUACUGCGAAAGCAUUUGCCAAGGAUGUUUUCAUUAAUCAAGAACGAAAGUUAGGGAUCGAAGACGAUCAGAUACCGUCGUAGUCUUAACCAUAAACUAUGCCGACUAGGGAUCGGAUGAUGUUAAUUUUUAAUGUACUCAUUCGGCUACCG
rnacentral:misc_RNA from 1 species